UCCCAGACUCCUACGGGAGGCAGCAGUGGGGAAUAUUGCACAAUGGGGGAAACCCUGAUGCAGCGACGCCGCGUGAGCGAUGAAGUAUUUCGGUAUGUAAAGCUCUAUCAGCAGGGAAGAAAAUGACGGUACCUGACUAAGAAGCCCCGGCUAACUACGUGCCAGCAGCCGCGGUAAUACGUAGGGGGCAAGCGUUAUCCGGAUUUACUGGGUGUAAAGGGAGCGUAGACGGCUGUGCAAGCCAGAUGUGAAAGCCCGGGGCUCAACCCCGGGACUGCAUUUGGAACUGUGUGGCUGGAGUGCUGGAGAGGCAAGCGGAAUUUCUAGUGUAGCGGUGAAAUGCGUAGAUAUUAGGAAGAACACCAGUGGCGAAGGCGGCUUGCUGGACAGUAACUGACGUUGAGGCUCGAAAGUGUGGGUAUCAAACAGGAUUAGAUACCCCUGUA
rnacentral:rRNA from 1 species